rnacentral:rRNA from 1 species
UACGUAGGGUGCGAGCGUUAAUCGGAAUUACUGGGCGUAAAGUGUGCGCAGGCGGCGCCGCAAGUCGAGUGUGAAAUCCCCGAGCUUAACUUGGGAAUUGCGCUCGAAACUACGACGCUGGAGUAUGGCAGAGGAAGGUGGAAUUCCACGUGUAGCGGUGAAAUGCGCAGAUAUCAGGAGGAACACCAAUGGCGAAGGCAGCUCGCUGGGACGGUACUGACGCUGAGACGCGAAAGCGUGGGGAGCAAACGGG